GAUGAACGCUAGCGGGACGCUUAACACAUGCAAGUCGAACGCUCCUUCGUCUUUGAUUUGAUUCUUCUUCGGAAGUUGACAUGAAGAGACAUAUAAGGAGAGUGGCAGACGGGCGAGUAACACGUAUCUAACCUGCCCCAAAGCGGGGGACAACAUCGGAAACGGUGCUAAUCCCCCAUGUGCUCAGAGGAAUGAAAAUACUCUGUGUAAAGAUUUAUCGCUUUGGGAGGGGGAUGCGGCCUAUCAGGUAGUUGGUGAGGUAAAGGCUCACCAAGCCGAUGACGGGUAGCCGAUCUGAGAGGAUGUACGGCCGCAAUGGGACUGAGACACGGCCCAUACUCCUACGGGAGGCAGCAGUGGGGAAUCUUGGACAAUGGAGGAAACUCUGAUCCAGCGAUCCCGCGUGGAGGACGACGCCUUACGGGGUGUAAACUCCUUUUUUGGGGGAAGACGACUGACGGUACCCCAAGAAUAAGGAACGGCUAACUACGUGCCAGCCGCCGCCGUAACAC
rnacentral:rRNA from 1 species